AACUGCGACCCCAGGUCAGGCGGGAUUACCCGCUGAGUUUAAG
rnacentral:rRNA from 1 species